rnacentral:rRNA from 1 species
AGAGCGAACGCUGGCGGCAGGCCUAACACAUGCAAGUCGAGCGCCCGUAGCAAUACGGGAGCGGCAGACGGGAUAGUAACACGUGGGAACGCGCCCUUCGGUUCGGAAUAACUCAGGGAAACUUGAGCUAAUACCGGAUACGCCCUUACGGGGAAAGAUUUAUUGCCGAAGGAACGGCCCGCGUCCGAUUAGCUAGUUGGUGAGGUAAUGGCUCACCAAGGCGACGAUCGGUAGCUGGUCUGAGAGGAUGACCAGCAUCACUGGGACUGAGACACGGCCCAGACUCCUACGGGAGGCAGCAGUGGGGAUAUUGGACAAUGGGCGCAAGCCUGAUCCAGCCAUGCCGCGUGGAUGAUGAAGGCCUUAGGGUUGUAAAGUCCUUUUAACGGGGAAGAUAAUGACGGUACCCGUAGAAUAAGCCCGGCUAACUUCGCGCCAGCAGCCGC